AACAACUCACCUGCCGAAUCAACUAGCCCUGAAAAUGGAUGGCGCUUGAGCGAGGGACCUAUACCCAGCCGUUGCUGGCUUGUGCGUUGUCUAGCGCCUGGCCGCAACGAGUAGGAGGGUCGUGGCGGUUGCGUCGAAGGCUUUGGGCGUAGGCCCAGCUGGAGCUUCCGUCAGUGCAGAUCUCGGUGGUAGUAGCAAAUAUUUAAGUUCGAUCCUUGAAGACUGAAGUGGAGAAGGGUUCCACGUGAACAGUAGUUGAAUGUGGGUCAGUCGAUCCUAAGAUACUGGCUUAUGCCUUGUAUCACUGAGAGGGAAAAGUUUCUUUUCUCUCGGAUAUCAAAAGGGAAUAGGGUUAAUAUUCCCUAACGCAGACACAGAGAUUGCGGCUCUUUGAGUCGCUUGCGCGGUAACGCAUUCGAACUUGGUUACGUCGCUCAGAGACCGAGCUAGAGUUCUCUUCUCUAGUUAAGGAACGGACUCCCUGGAAUCGGUUCAGCCGUAGAUAGGGACGUUGUUUCCGUAAAGCAUCGCGGUUUCUGUGAUGUCUCGUGUUCUUUGGACGGCCCUUGAAAAACCAAGGAAGGCUAUCAAUCUGUGCUGCAUCGUACCGAUAUCCGCAUCAGGUCUCC
rnacentral:rRNA from 1 species